UGCUAGUGUGAACAGGCGAGCCUAUGGAACU
rnacentral:piRNA from 1 species